CCGGGGCCGGGGCCGGGGUGGCGUGCUGACCCCCGAGGGCAGAAACGGGCUGGGUCUCCGGUUUCAGGGUACGGGGUCCAGACCUCGCCGAGACCGGCUCGGGGCUGGCGGAGCCCGGGGAGCGGCUCAGCUGUGUCAGCUAUAGUCUAGAGCUCCUGGGGGCAUCAUUAGACUCUCCAGGAACAGACUCCCCCAUCACACACAUCCACCCGCCAGCCUAGGAGGAUAUAAUCAGUGGUUAAGAAUCCGCCUGCCAAUGAAGGGGACACGGGUUCGAGCCCUGGGCUGGGAAGACCCCACAUGCCAUGGAGCAACUAAGCCCGUGUGCCACAACUACUGAGCCCGAGCACCACAACUACUGAGCCCGUGUGCCACAACUACUGAACCCGUGCGCCACAACUACUGAAGCCUGCUCUCCUAGAGUCCGUGCUCCGCAACAAGAGAAGCCACCGUAAUGAGAAGCCCACGCACCACAAUGAAAAGUAGCCCCCGCUUGCCGCAACUAGAGAAAGCCUGCACACAGCAUCAAAGACCCAACGCAGACAAAAAUAAAUUUAAAAAAAA